rnacentral:lncRNA from 1 species
UAACCCUGUUGGAUUUGUGGGCAAGUCCAUUUGGCAUGAGAGUGAGAAUAGCAUUGGCUGAAAAGGCUGUAAAGUAUGAGUACAGUGAACAAGAUUUGUGGAACAAAGGUGCUUUACUUCUUCAAAUGAAUCCCGUUCACAAGAAAAUCCCAGUUCUUGUCCAUAAUGGAAAACCUGUUUGUGAGUCACUUAUCAUUGUUCAGUAUAUUGAUGACGUGUGGAAGGAGAAGGCUCCUUUGUUGUCUUCUGAUCCCUACCAGAGAGCUCAGUCAAGGUUCUGGGCAGAUUUUGUUGACAAAAAGGUAUGGCGUUUUUUUUUUCCUUGGUAAAUAAAUGGUUCGUCUUUUUUGGUUUUUGAUUUUGUUUUGUUUUGUUUUGAGGUAUGACUUGAUUAAACCCCCAUAGAAUUUGAUUGGUUUGAAAGAAUUAAAAUUUAUAUCACCACUACAAUUAGCCCCAAGAUUAAUAUCAAAUUAAGGAAGAAAUUAGAGAUCUCGACAUGGAAUGGUGGAAAAGUCUGUUUGAUGUUCAUUUCAAGUGUUCUAAUUGGGUGUGAUUUUUUUUUCCCUUUUAACAAAUUAACCAUUAAGGUUUCUGAUCAUUUCAUUUUUGAUGAACUAUUUUUCAUUCUUGUGAGUUCAUGAGAGUUAAAGUAGAUGUUUCUGUAUAAGGAUCACCAAAUUGAUUGGAUCCAAUUGCCUUAAGACGCACCAAGAUAACUUAAAAAAUGACAUAUUUAAUGCAUUAAAGACAAGUUCAUGAGAGUUAAAGUAGAUGUCUGGUUAAUAAAUAAAUAAAUAAUGUUAUUACCAUCUUUGAAUUUAUACUGCUUUGCAUUUCUAACCUCUCUAACGAUGAAUGGCUUUGCCCUCCUCUUUAGACAGAAAUGAAGCACUUGGACCACCUUUGACUUUUGUGAUUCCAAAAAGUCUAUGUGUGGUGAAUUGUUUUUAGAAGGAAAUUGUUUGUCUCAAGUUUUAGAAAAUAAUAUAGAUUAAAAAAAUAUUAGAAAAAUAAUAUAGUUGAAUAUAACCAUGUUUCUAAAUAUUAAUUUUCUAUACAAUUAUCAUUUCCGUUUAGUUAAACGAUAAAAUAUGUUAAUAAAAUUUUGGGGUUAAUUUUUUGUAUAUAUAAAUUAAUUUGCAUGAGAUAUAUAUUUUGAUUUUUAACUAAAUAACCGUUAUUUCUAAUAAUAAUAAUAAAAAAAAACACAGUUUUUUUUAAACUGUUCUAUUUCCAUCGGAUGUAUGUUUGCCAAAACUUUUACCUAAUUAUGUGUGGUGACCAUUAUACUAAUUUGUUAUGCAAUCGUGUGAUAUGAACCUUCAGUUAUAUGAGUUUGGGACGAAGAUAUAUACAACAAAAGGAGAAGAUCAGGAGGCAGCCAAGAAGAAUUUCAUUGACAGCCUCAAGCUUUUGGAAGGAGAGCUUGGAGACAAGCCUUACUUUGGAGGCGAGACCCUCGGCUACGUUGAUGUUGCACUACUUCCUUUCUAUUGCUGGUUUUAUGCCUAUGAAACCAUCGGCAACUUCAAUGUAGAGGCUGAUUGUCCAAAGCUGAUUGCUUACUGCAAGAGGUGCUUGGAGAAAGAGAGUGUAUCCAAGUCUCUUCAAGAUCCACAGAAAGUCUUUGAUUUUGUUGUGAUGCUGAGGAAGAAGUUUGGCCUCGAGUAGUGUUCAUCCAUAAGAUGUUGUGUGUGAUUUAUGUUUCAAAUAAGGCGGGCACUUAGUUGUGCCUGUAAUAUGUUUAUAUUCUGAGGUACUUUAUUGUGCCUGACAUAGUAUGUGGUUUUUACCUUUGUAAUGUUUCCCUUCAAGUAUAAAAAGGCUGGCACCUCUUUGUUCAACGCGUCUAUGCCACGCAGUCAAUAAGAUAACUCUAUAGUGGAUUUUCUAUGGAAGUGGGCUCGAGAACCUGGUGUAAAAAUUUGAUUACAAUCUAGUAGUCAAAUAUUUUGUUUUUGACUCUUUUAAUCACUAUUCUAGUUUAGUUUAUCAAACCUUCUCUUGAACUUAAAGUUAUCUUAUUGAUUCAUAAAUUCAUUUGUUAAGCCAUUAGGAACUCCUUAUGGCAUAUUGCUAUCCAAAUACUCAAUAGCUUCAAUUUCCUCGAGCCUGGAUACAUCGAUCUCCGAAUACUUUGAAGGAGAAGGAAAAACAAAAGGAUGAGGAAAAGGGCAAAUGAGAGCGUGGGUUCCUGGAUUACGUUAUCUGCUAGAAUGUUCAACACGUCUAUGCCAUGCAGUCAAUAAGACAACUCUGCAAAACCGGCCAUCCUAACUCACAUCAGCCCUCGCAUUUCCACAAUGACAAACCACAGCCUUAGUCCAAGAAAACAAAGAAGCGUUACUUUUUAUUAGAGAGAUAUCCUCUGCUGAUUGUGUAACUGAAGAGAGAUUUACUCAUCUCAAUCAAAACUGAUUGAGUAAUCGAAGAUCAGUUUUAAUUCUUAGUAAUUAUAGUUUUUAAUGCUAUUUAUAAUUCUUGUAACAGUCAAACAAAUUCUCCUAUAUAUAUAGCUGUAUAUUGUAAACUGAAUCAAUAAGAAAAAUCAUUUUCUACAUGGUAUCAGCCUAAACCUACGAUCCUCACCUAUUUCUCUUCUUUUAGCGUUUCUCUUCCUUUUCCCUUUUUCUUUCUCAUGGCCACCAUCUCUUCGGCUCUCUCUCAAAAUACUGCUCAAUUCACCAAACUUACUGAAACCAAUUAUCUCACUUGGCUUCGGCAAAUCAAACCUUACCUUCAUGGUGCCAAACUUUGGGGAUAUGUUGAUGGCACCAUUCCUGAACCAUCUCUCACCAUCCUGAAUACUGCUUCUGCUUCUACUUCUGACACUCAAUCUGCAAGAUCCAUUCCUAAUCCUGAUCAUGCUAGCUGGUUCAUCAUUGACCAACAAUUUGUUAGCAUCCUCACCACCACUCUAACAGAAAACAUUGCACAACUUACCAUUGGUUUCGACACAUCAAAGGCAAUUUGGGACUGUCUUGAACGUCACUUUUCCCAAAAGUAUGUAGCAAGUGCAACCAAUCUCAAAAUGCAACUUCUUGAUCUCAAUAAAGGCACUCAAUCUGUUGAUACUUAUCUUCGUCAUGCUAAAUCAAUUGUUGAUGCAUUGAUUUCUAUUAACAAGCCUGUUCCUGAUGAGGAUUUGGUCAUCGCCACUCUUCAUGGUCUUGGCCCUGAUUAUCUCAUGCUUCGUACUGCCCUCACUCAAAAUCCUCCACUCCCAGAUUUCACUGAACUUCGGGCUCGAAUUCUCUCUUUUGAUGCUCAACAAUCUCGUCCUGCUGAUUCUCCUACAACCAUCGCUCUUUUCAAUCACACUCAUGCUCCCUCUACCCGUCGUGAUCACCGCCCUAAUACUGGUCAUCAAUUUCCCACCAGUGGUCGUCCUAACAAUGGUCGCUUUAGACGUGGUCGCUAUUCUCAGCAGCGCGCCACUCCACAGUCACAGGUUGGGUUUUCAUUUCCUAUGCAACAGCAACAUGUGCCUCCAUCAGGGCCAUUUACUUCACCAGCUUGGGCUGCUCGUCCUCCACCAAAUGGUAUUCUUGGCCCAGCACCUCAAUGGUGUCCAAAUUGUCACUCAAGUCACCAUGGACUCUCUCAAUGUCCACAUAGAUUUUCUGGUCCAAACACUACCACUCCAUUUGCUUGUGUACAUUAUGCUGCUGAUCCAAACUGGUACCCAGACACAGGUGCAACUCAUCACAUGACAGCCAUGCCCAUCAAUAAUUCUCAACCUUAUGGUGGGCCGCAUAAUGUCUAUAUGGGUAAUGGGGACUCAAUGUCUGUUUCCCAUACUGGUAACCUCCCCUUUUCAUUAGGCUCUUCUACCUUCACUCUACAAAAUGUCUUCCGUAUUCCAUCUAUUCGUAAAAAUCUUCUAUCUGUUGCUCGUUUCACUAAAGAUAAUCAUGUUUUCUUUCUCUUUGCACCUGACUUCUAUCAAAUCUAUUGCUUACGCACUGGAUGUCUAUUGUUUCAGGGCCCUUGUAAAGAUGGUUUGUAUCCGCUUAAUCUAUCAAACGUCUCUACUUCUCCACAAGCCCUUGCUUCCGUUCACUCCUCCAUCUGGCAUAAUCGUUUGGGUCAUCCGUCAUCAAAUGUCUUUGCACAUCUAAGUCCUAUAAUUAAUUCCAAAUUGUCUUUUCCUUCUUUUUGUCGAGACUGUGCACUUAGCAAGUCUCACCAAUUACCUUUUCCUUCCACCAAAGAGACUGCUAGCACUCCUUUUCAUAUUAUACAUAGUGAUGUUUGGUCCUCCUCUACCAUUUCUGUAAGUGGUUUCAAAUAUUAUGUUCUAUUUACUGAUGAAUUCUCACGUUACACUUGGAUUUACCCUAUGCGUCGCAAAAAUGAAGUCCUCACUCAUUUUCAAACUUUAGUUGCCAAGAUUCAAAACAUCUUCCACCAAACCAUUCAAUUUCUUCAAAGUGAUAAUGGGACAGAAUAUGUCAAUAAUGCAUUUUCUCAUUAUUGUAAAUCCUUGGGAAUUCAACAAAGAUUUUCUUGCCCCCACACACCACAACAAAAUGGCCUUGCCGAACGUAAGCACCGCCAUAUUGCUACAAUGACUCGCAGUCUCCUUCUCACUUCCGGUACUCCACAUAAUCUUUGGGUUGAAGCUGUUUUAACCUCCGUUUACCUUAUUAAUCUUCUUCCCACACCCACUCUUCAUUGGGAUACUCCACAUACUCGUCUCUAUGGCAGCCCACCUUCCUAUUCCUCUCUUCGGGUUUUUGGAUGUUCAUGUUUUCCUCAUCUUGGGUCUUAUGUCUCCGAUAAACUUUCAAGUCGUAGCAUUGAGUGUGUCUUUCUUGGUUACAGUUCUCAACACAAAGGUUAUCGUUCUUUAGAUCCUACCACCGGUCGUGUCUAUAUUUCUAGGCAUGUUAUUUUUAAUGAAACAGUUUUUCCUUACAAACAGUUGCAGGCACAUUCAGUUCCCGAUGCUGGCCUAUUGGAAUUCACACUUUUGUCCAGCUCAGAGCUCCCACAACUUGCUCCUUCUAGUCCAAAUUCACCUGCUGAGAUGUCUCAACCAGAGCAGUGUGAAAUGGAUAUUGAAUUCCCGAUUACAGCAUCAUCGGCUACAUCCCAGUCUAUGGUGCCCACUGCCGCCCCCAUCCUCACUUAUCAGCGCCGACGUUCAUCACAUCCAGUUACUUCACAGAUAGCAUCCACCUCUCUUCAGCCAUCUGCCCCUGAUGCAACUGUUCCACAGCUGGUCUCAGGUGAUCCUUCUCCUGUCUCUAAUCCUCCAGCACCAUCAACAUCUUUAUCACCUGCUCCCUAGUCUCUUCCUGUGCCACCAAGAACUUGGUGCUCGCAUUCAAUUUCCCAUUCUCUUGCAUUGUGAUAACCUCAGUGCUACGUACAUGGCUUCCAAUCCGGUAUUCCAUGCCCGCACUAAACAUAUUGAACUUGAUUAUCACUUUGUUCGUGAGAAGGUUGCACUUGGAAGCCAUCGUGUUUGCUUUAUCCCUUCCAUAGAUCAGCCUGCAGAUCUGCUCACCAAGCCUCUUCACAAGAAUCGACAUGUUCUUUUUACUCGCAAACUUGUUCGUGCAGGCCCGCAAAGUUUGAGGGAGGGUAUUAGAGAGAUAUCCUCUACUGAUUGUGUAACUGAAGAGAGAUUUACUCAUCUCAAUCAAAACUGAUUGAGUAAUCGAAGAUCAGUUUUUAUUCUUAGUAAUUAUAGUUUUUAAUGCUAUUUAUAAUUCUUGUAACAGUCAAACAAAUUCUCCUAUAUAUAUAGCUGUAUAUUGUAAACUGAAUCAAUAACAAAAACCAUUUUCUACACUUUUCUUCAAGAAUCUUCUUUUUUACUUCAAGAAUGGCUGGUGAUCAAGUAACCCUGUUGAAUUUCUGGGCAAGUUCAUUUGGUAUGAGAGUGAGAAUAGCAUUGGCUGAAAAGGCUGUAAAGUUUGAGUACAGCGCACAAGAUUUGAGGAACAAAACUGCUUUACUUCUUCAAAUGAAUCCUGUUCACUCGAAAAUCCCAGUUCUUGUCCAUAAUGGGAAACCUGUUUGCGAGUCACUUAUCAUUGUUCAGUAUAUUGAUGAGGCGUGGAAGAACAAGGCUCCUUUGUUGCCUUCUGAUCCUUACCAGGGAGCUCAGUCCAGGUUCAAUAUAGAGGCUGAUUGUCCGAAGCUGAUUGCUUACUGCAAGAGGUGCUUGGAGAAAGAGAGUGUAUCCAAGUGUCUUGAAGAUCCACAGGAAGUCUCUGAUUUCGUUGUGAUGAUGAGAAAGAAGCUUGGGCUUGAGUAAUGUGCAUCCAAAGGCAAGGAGGUGCUAUUUCCUGUUGAGAAGUUGUUGUACUUGUGUACUGUGUGAGUUAUGUUUCGAAUAAGGGUGGCACUUUGCUGUGCCUGUAAUAUGUUUAUAGUUUGAGAGGGCACUUUGUUGUGCCUGAAAAUGUUGACUGAGGAUGUGGUUUUUCUUUGUGACGUUUGCCUUCAAGUAAAAAGACGGUCUUCGUUGCCCAUUGGUUCUUGAUAAAUAUAGAUAUUUCUCAUCUUAAAUUUACAAAAAAAUCAUUUUAAUUUAAAAAUUUAAGGUAUUGAUUAUGAUUUUAAAAAUGAUUUAUUCUACUUUUUAAUAUUUUUUGAGUUUGAAACUUAUAAAAAUUUAUAACUAUUUUGUAUUUUAUUUUAUUAACUUAAUAUUUGAUAAAAUUAGUGUAGUUGGAUUUAAUUUGUUGAGAAAUAUCUUAAUUUUAAAUUUUAAAUUAAUGGAUGAGAGGUAUUGCACAACUGGUUUAUGAUCAAUAAUUUAAUAAAAUGAUUAUUAAUAUAUUUAAUUAAAUACUUUCAUAGAGUUUUUAAUUUAUAUUUUGAAUUUUUUUAUGUGCAAAAACACACAUUGAAGCCAUACUUGAUUUUUGUUUUGUUUUGUUUUGUUUUUUUUUUAAUUUAUAAAAAAAUUACAACAUGUAACAGAACUAGUUUAAAUAAAUGGUGCACUUAUCUAAAACGUUUUGAACUUGAAGCUCUAUAAAGGUACGGUACAUUAAGGGAAAUAAAUAGUCUUCUUUCAAAUUCAAUUUGAUUGAUGGGAAAACAUUUUCUAUCAAAAAAUCCUCUUUAUAUUUUGGCAAUCUAACCUUCUUUUCUUCCAACCAUUUUCGCAAGUUAUCAUCAAAAGAUAAAGGGAAAAAAGAGCCUAGGCUGAAAAACUUUGCAUGGUAAGUCAACAUAUUAGGAGUCUAUAUAUAGACAUAUACAAGCUCAACAUAAUAUAUCACCAAAAUAAGUUCAAAACGUUAUUGAAACAUAUAAUGAAAAGCUAAAUGUAUAUUUCAUGUACAUCACUUGCUAGUUCAGAAAAUAUUUAUACUUUCAAAGCUUUAAAAUAGUGGUUGUAAGCUUUAAAAUAAUGGUUGUUGCACUCUUAUGGACACCUAUAUAUAUAUAUAUAUAUAUUUUAUCUCUUCUUCCCUCCUUUUGGUUCUGAUUUUUCAAGGUAUUUAUAGAGUUUUUUUGAUAAAUUCAAUCAAAGAUUGAUCAUGAUCAAUGCUUGACUCUCUAAUCGAAAUAGGAGGGUUUUAUGAACCUUUACAACUAGGUUUUUUGUGACAAUAAUAAACUUGUAAUUAAAUGGAUUAACAUACUUAAAUUAAUGUUUUUUUAGCAUCUUCCAUGUUCUAUUUGCAUUUAACCUAUACUUAUCAAUGAAAACAUUAUUAAUGAUAUUAUCAUUGCCAUUAGCGUCAUUCUUUAUGGAAUCAUUAUCAACAUAAUUAUCAUUAAAAACAAUAUCAUAAAUUGAUAAAGAAUAUUAAUCUGCUUCUACCUCAUAAUAAAUAGGAUCACCAAAAUCUUUAUGAAAAGUCAAACAAUCACUAGGACUAUUCUAGAAAAGAAAGAAUGAUUGUCCACAAUUCAAAGUUUGAAUUUUGUAGUGCAUUUCCAGCAACUCGUAUAGUGUGUUAUAGCUAGAAAAGUUUGCCUAGAUUUUUCCAUUUAGGUUAGUUAAUAAUGCUAUAAAUAGCCAUGCAACCCCUAUAUAUGUAAAUACCUUUAUAUAAAAAUAGUUAUUAUGUGUAGUACAUUCCAUCAUUGUACUGUAUACAACUCUAAAGGUAUAAAUACAAAGGGAUGGUAGCUCUUAUUGACAAUCUUCACAAUUAUACAAAAGACUAUCUCUUAAUAGAUCUUAACUUGGUAUCACAGCAACAAAUCGUCCAGCAGCCUUCUCCCUUGCAUCCGGCUGGUUCUCUUCCUCCUACAUCUGUUAUAACUAGCAGCCUUAUUUCAUCUAUCUGCAACCAAUCGAGUGACCCUGCUACUGCCAUCAUCUUUGUCAUAACCCAUUUUUGGGCUCUUUCCAAUUCAUUUCUUUGAGAAAAAAAGAGAAAAGCAUGACGCAAUGUCGUUUUAAAUGGCACUGUGCAUGUUCUUCUUCCCUGCGAAUGCAGAGACAGGGGAGAAAAAGAUUUUUGAAAUGUUCUUUUUCCCACUCUCUCUCUCUCUCCACCCUAUUUGCCCAAGAAACCCAACAUAACUCAUACCCACACAACCAUGCCCUGCAACCAUUAUGGAAGAAACAUGAGACAAAGACCCAUGCCCUGCACUUGAAUAGGGUAUGGUGACCCUCUCCCUCGACAUUCUAUAAAUACAAGGUAAGAUUACAAGACAAAUGAGGGGUAUUUUUUAGAGAAGGAGAAGAAUAAACAAAAAUAGACGAGGAAGAAGAAGAAAAAAAACAGAGGCUAGUGCCUCUGCACGAGGAAGAAAAAGAAGAAAAAAAUAGAGGCUAGUGCCUCUGCACGGGGAAGAAGAAGAAAAAAACUCCCGCAAACACUGCCCUCCACUGCAAUAACCACGCAAAUCGUCGUCAACUUCCUCUUCUCCGCCACCAGCAUCAUCAUGAGCGUUAGCAAGUCAGCCUUUUGAAACAAAAGAAAAGGAGGAGAAGCAAAGGCUUGCGCCUCUACACAGGGAAGCUGAAGUAGCCAGAGAGGAGGAAAAGAGGAAACAGAAGAGAAAAGAGGAAGAACCACCAGUUGUUGUCCGCAUAGCCACCACCAGCUGCCACCUUCCUCCCUGUCGUCGAUAACAACACCUAUAUUAUGAGAAAUAGAAGAAGAAGAAAAAACAGAGACAGACAGAGGAAGCCACGCAGAAACAAAGAAAGAAUGAGAACCACUGUUUGGAACCAUCGGCCGCCGUGCCAUUUUUCCUCUUAAUCAUCAACAACAGCAGCCACUGCAGGUUAGCUUGAGUGAGGAGGAAGAAUGAAAAAGUACAGAAGGUAGAGGUGCCUCUACACUGUGAAGAAGGAGAAAAAAACGGCAGUAAACACUGGUUGCAGAGACAACAACACAACCAUCCCACCACCAGCAUCUUUGCCUAGGACCACCGUUAUACCACCACCACAGCACCGCCAAAGAUAGCAACCAUCACAGGUCAGCUCCCUUCUUCUUCUUCACCCUGGUCUCCAUUAUUCACGUAGCAUGUGAACAGUGGAGAGCCAUUAUUCAUGGUUGGGCCAAUUCUGGCUAGGCCGCAUAACUAGCCCGACCCACGUCAAAAUAGUUGGGCCGGAAAAAAAAAAAAAAAAACAUUUCAGAAAAUUUGUGAUUUCUCCGUGUAUUUUUUUUACUGAAUUUUCCUUAAUAUUGGUUUGUGUUUUUUAUAUCGUAAAGAUACAAAUCUAGUAUUAAAAUACCUGGUUUUCGUCAAAACAUUAGAAAAUUAAAAAAUAUAUAUUUAUUUUCAUGCAUACGGCCAAGUCUCUUAAAGAAAAAAUCAUAUUAUAUUUUCAUACAACAAAAAUCCAAUAAUAUAUAUUCACAUGCAUUUUGGUUUUAAUAACUUGUUUAUUAAAGUCACGAGAACUAUGCCAAUAUUUCAAAAAUUUCAAAAGAAUUAUUUUGUUUUCUUUUAGUAUCUGGGGUUACGACCUUAUACGUAAGACGUAUUUUGGAUAUUAAAUUCUUUCAUUGACGUUUGAAUGGUUAGGUUUAACCCGAUAAGAUAAGAAUCUCUUUACCGAGGAGGACUUUUCUUGAACCGUUGACAAACUAACAAUAAAAAAACACAACAAGACCUUAGUUUUUAUUAGACAAUUAAACAAUACAUCUUACCUUAGGUAGGCGUAUUUGGGGUGCUAAUACCUUUCCUUUAUGCAAUCAAUCUUCGUGCCUGAUCUCUUAAGAUCAAUUAAGGUUUCUAGUGACCAAAAUACUAGGUGGCGACUCCCAUUCCAUUUCUCCACUGAUAAAAGACAUGAAUUCCUUGUCUCCUCACAUUUACUAGAUAUAUAAAUAUACCUCAGAGGGGUGGACGAUCACCACAAUAUCGCACACGUGCGACAAUCUUCAUCUGUUAUAUUUUAGCAACCUUCUUUCUCUUAUCUUCAUCCUAUAUUCAUGUUCCUCUUAUGGACAAUCAAUAACUUCAACACUCUGCUACUGCUGCAUCAACACUUCAAUCUUCUUUCUCCCUUGUGGCGCCAUCAACCACCUAUGGUGCGUCCACUUCUGCUACUACCAUUAUACCUCUUCCUAACACACAACAAGUAAUUUCUUUAAAGCUCUCCAACACCAAUUUUUUUAUAUUAGAGGAUGCAGAUGAAACCGUUUCUUUUGGGCUAAGGCAUGUACCUCUUUGUUGAUGGCAAAUCACAAUGUCCUCCUACUCAUCUUGCAUCUGCUGCGACAUCUUUACCCUCUAUCAAUCCUGCAUAUUUGUCAUGGAAGCAACAAGAUCACUUAAUCAUGAAUGCCCUCUUAUCCUCUCUCUCGGUGGAAGUUCUGUAUUUGGUUGUGGCCUAUAACACCUCCCAUGAUAUUUAGAGAAUGCUGGAAACAACUCUUACCUCUCCUUUCAAUUUAAGAAUCAUACAAUUUCACAGUUCAUUCCAAGAUUUACGCUAAAAUGAUGAUUCUACCAGCAUCUACUUGCAGAAGGCAAAUGCCCUCUUUGUUGAACUUGCUGAGGCUGGAAAACCAAUCUCCUUGGCAUAAUUCAACUUAUAUGUGUUUGUGUUUCAAGGGUUACGUAGCGACUUUAAUGAUCUUGUCACCAUCUUGUCUACUAAGACUGAUCCUAUCUCCUACACUGAUCUUCAUUGCAGUCUUCUUAAGCAUGAAUUUCUCUAUAAAGCUGCUCUUCAACCUGCCAUAACAGCUCAUCUAUUACCAACUCCAACACAGCAACCAACUGCGUUCUUUGUGCAGCAUCACUCUAGUUUCAGUACUGACAGACAAGGUCGUUUUCGUGGUUGGAGACAUAACAAUGACAACAACUCUUAUCAUGGCGCCAAUCAUGACAAUGGCUCAGCUGAAUACUUCAGCACUCACAAUUAUACCUCAAGCCAACAAUUUGGACAAUAGGGACAUCGAUUUUCCUCUGGUUCUCCCUCUCGGAUAACAGGAAAAUUUGGGCAGCAAGGUAACCAUUUUGGUGGGUAUAAUUGCAAUGUAAAAUGUUAGUUGUGUUAUGAAUAUGGGCAUACUGCCCAACAAUGUUUUUAGUUGGCUACUUAUCCUCUCCAAGCCAAUGCCAAUCUCGCAUUUAAUAAUGCCCUUAUAACUACUCCUGUUACUUAGUUUCCUGAUAUAGGUGCAAAUCAUCAUGUAACGUUGGAUUUUGCCAAUACGAGGAGUUUAGAACCUUACCUUGGUAAUGAUCAUCUGCAUGUGGGUGAUGGUCAAGGCCUUGUUAUUUGGAAUAUUGCUCACUCUAAAAUUCGUUCAUCGAAACACACAUUUACUUUAUCUAAUAUUUUACAUGUUCCUGACAUUAAAAAACCUCUGCUAUCUGUUCAAAAGUUUUGUCUUGAGAAUAAUGUCUUCUUUGAAUUUCAUUUCUUUCUAUUUUAUGUGAAGGGCCACAUGACAAAGGAAGUGCUUCUUUCCGGUCGGAGUAGAGAUGGUCUAUAUGUUUUGUCCCAAUCGUCUACAACAUUGUUGCCUCAGGUUUUCUCAUUUUUAUGUCUUUUUACUUUCACUGAUGUCUGACAUCGUCAGCUUAAGCAUCCCAGUCCAUGCAUUCUGCAUUUUUUAGUGAAAAAUAAAAAGGUGUCAUAUACGUCAAAUCAAUUUAAUUUUAAUUUUCCUGUGUGCCAUCUAGGCAAGUUGUCUCAUCUUACUCUAAAAACUACGGGUCAUCAAACUCGAGCUCUUCUUGACUUGAUUUUUAAUCAUGUUUAGGGUCCCUCCCUUGUGUUGUCAUCUAAUGGUUUUUGCUAAUUUGGUAUCUUUGUGGAUGCUCAUACAAAGUUAGCCAUAUUUUGCUGGGUUUUUACUCGUUUAUCAAAUUAACUUGUUAGACAUGUAAUAAUUAUAAAAAUAAUUACAUUCAAGUCUUUUGGUACCCUCAAACCAAAUAAUUAAAUAACAACUCCUGGAUCUUGAUAUCGUGCUGCAUCAUGCGUGCACGGGCCACAAAGCUAAACACCAUCGAUUUCGUACAAAGACCUGGGAUACUGUGUAUAUUAUAGAAGGAGAAGGGAUCAAAACGACAAGGAAAGAGGCUUGUGAGAGCAUGAGGUACUUGAUGACGUAAUUUGCUAGAAUGUCAUGAAAUAAAUAACACGACUGGGAAACCCACCACACUAACUCCCUUCAGCCUUUUCUUACAACAAAUACUAGCGUUUCCACUCUGUCAGACCUCAGCCUUCAGAGUCCAAGAAGCGUAGCGAUACUUCAAGCAUCUUCCUUUUCACUUCAAGAAUGGCUGGUGAUCAAGUAACCCUGUUGGAUUUCUGGUCAAGUCCAUUUGGUAUGAGAGUGAGAAUAGCAUUGGCUGUAAAGGGUGUAAAGUAUGAGUCCAGUGAACAAGAUUUGUGGAACGAAGGUGCUUUAUAUUUUCAAAUGAAUCCUGUUCACAAGAAAAUUCCAGUUCUUGUCCAUGAUGGGAAACCUAUUUGUGAGUCACUUAUCAUUGUUCAGUAUAUUGAUGAGGUGUGGAAGGAGAAGGCUCCUUUGUUGUCUUCUGAUCCCUACGAGAGAGCUCAAUCUAGGUUCUGGGCAGAUUUUGUUGAUAAGAAG